UCGAGAGGCGUUGGAAGCCCCUUUGCUUCUUAGCUUUAUGGCAGCGAACUCGGGCCCUUCCUCUAGCGCCAACUGUUGCUGGAAAUUGGACCCGGGGGCCGCCGCGAAGCCAGGGGAAGGAGGGGCUCCGCCGUAGGGACAGUGGAUGACCGUGCGCCGGCUGGUGGCGUCCUCCUGGAGGGGUGCAAGUCCGCCGUAGGAGCGGUGGUCGAUGGCGUGCCGGCGGGUGGCGUCCUCCUGGGGGGCGUAAGUCCUGCAAGAAAACCGGUGGCCGGGCUCCCCGGCGCCGGCCCUCCGAUGCUUAAGU
rnacentral:lncRNA from 1 species